ACUUCUUUUUCAUUUCUCUUUUUCUCCGCCCCCUCUUUCUAUCUCUCUCCAAGAACCUCCCAAAAUCACCUAUUCAAUUGAAAAAUUCGAAGUAAAAUCUUAAAAAUCAGAUAAAAAAGUUGUUGAUAGAUCAGAGAGAUUUAACAGAUCAAUUGAAACAUAGAAGAUCAGAGAAAAUUAAAAACAGAAUCAAAGCUAGGCUUGGUCUCCACUUUACUGUAAAUCUUCAAUUGAAGAUACAAAAUUGAAGGUCUGUUCAUCAACAAAAACAUCUUUAAAGGUGAAGCGGAAUUUAGUACUUGCUGUGAUAGCAAACAACAAAAUCAAGUGAUUCUGUUGGUGUAAAGAAAUCAUCGGCUUCUCUUGGUGUUAAGAAAUUAGGAAAGGUAAAAAAAGGAACGUGGAUUUGGCUCUUCUUACACAUGUAGACCAUGCAUAAGUGUGCAGCCACCAAGUCUGGAUCGUGAUAGUGAAUUUGUAAGUAGAUACCCGAGAGAAGAUGAUCAUGAGAGAGAUGCAGGCACUCCUGCAGAAAGACACAGUACUAAGAACAGAAAGGAUUUGAACUGUUCAUGGGCUUGACACAGAUGCAGAUGAAGAUGAUUUAAUGUGUUAAAGUUGUAGAAAUCCACUUAGGAAUAGUCCAAGGUUUUGCUUUUGUUAGAUUUGUGUCUGUUGAAUGACACUCUUAACUGAAAUGAACGAACCACUAUGAUGCAUUGCAGGCAUACAAAAUUAUGGAGAUAUCUUAAAUAUACAAACUAGUCCAUGCAAA